rnacentral:rRNA from 1 species
UACGUAGGGGGCUAGCGUUGUCCGGAAUCAUUGGGCGUAAAGAGCGUGUAGGCGGUUAGGUAGGUCCGUUGUGAAAACUCGAGCUCAACCUCGAGACGCCGAUGGAAACCCCCUAACUAGAGUCCGGAAGAGGAGAGUGGAAUUCCUGGUGUAGCGGUGAAAUGCGCAGAUAUCAGGAAGAACACCCGUGGCUAAGGCGGCUCUCUAGUACGGUACUGACGCUGAGACGCGAAAGCGUGGGGAGCGAACAGG